UACAGAGGUCUCAAGCGUUGUUCGGAUUCAUUGGGCGUAAAGGGUGCGUAGGUGGCGCGCUAAGUCAGGUGUGAAAUUUCGGAGCUUAACUCCGAAACUGCAUUUGAUACUGGCGUGCUUGAGGACUGGAGAGGAGACUGGAAUUCAUGGUGUAGCAGUGAAAUGCGUAGAGAUCAUGAGGAAGACCAGUGGCGAAGGCGAGUCCCUGGACAACUCCUGACACUGAGGCACGAAAGCUAGGGGAGCAAACAGG
rnacentral:rRNA from 1 species